UAUGAACGCUAGCGGCAGGCUUAAUACAUGCAAGUCGAACGGUAACAGGGGGUAGCAAUACUCCGCUGACGAGUGGCGCACGGGUGAGUAACGCGUAUGCAAUCUGCCUUCAACAGGAGAAUAGCCCCUCGAAAGAGGGAUUAAUACUCCAUAAUAUUAAGACAUGGCAUCAUGUUUUAAUUAAAGCUCCGGCGGUUGAAGAUGAGCAUGCGUGACAUUAGUUUGUUGGUGAGGUAAAGGCUCACCAAGACUACGAUGUCUAGGGGGUCUGAGAGGAUGAUCCCCCACACUGGUACUGAGACACGGACCAGACUCCUACGGGAGGCAGCAGUAAGGAAUAUUGGUCAAUGGACGCAAGUCUGAACCAGCCAUGCCGCGUGCAGGAUGACGGCCCUACGGGUUGUAAACUGCUUUUAUACGGGAAAAACCCUCGUUCGUGAACGAGGCUGAUGGUACCGUACGAAUAAGGAUCGGCUAACUCCGUGCCAGCACG
rnacentral:rRNA from 1 species